AACGCACGAGACCUGCGGACCUGCGGAAGGAUCAUUGCGAAUUGGAGGAUGGUGGUGGUUGGAUGGGAAGAGUUCUGGGCAUGACCUUGGCUUUAUUCAAUGCAACCACUGAUCCCAUACAUAUGCACGAGUUGUGGUGGUUGGGAAGAUUGGAUGUAGUUAGACGUUACAACACGUUGAAUUGCAAUCAAUAUCCAUACCAGCCACACUCAUGUUUACGCUUGUUUGUAUGACAGAGUU
rnacentral:misc_RNA from 1 species